rnacentral:rRNA from 1 species
GCGUUGUUCGGAAUUACUGGGCGUAAAGGGCUCGUAGGCGGCCAACUAAGUCAGACGUGAAAUCCCUCGGCUUAACCGGGGAACUGCGUCUGAUACUGGAUGGCUUGAGUGUAGGAGAGGGAUGCGGAAUUCCAGGUGUAGCGGUGAAAUGCGUAGAUAUCUGGAGGAACACCGGUGGCGAAGGCGGCAUCCUGGACCGACACUGACACUGAGGAGCGAAAGCCAGGGGAGCAAACGGG